UACGUAGGGUGCGAGCGUUGUCCGGAAUUAUUGGGCGUAAAGAGCUUGUAGGCGGUUUGUCGCGUCUGCUGUGAAAAUCCGGGGCUCAACCCCGGACUUGCAGUGGGUACGGGCAGGCUAGAGUGUGGUAGGGGGAGACUGGAAUUCCUAGUGUAGCGGUGGAAUGCGCAGAUAUCAGGAGGAACACCGAUGGCGAAGGCAGGUCUCUGGGCCACUACUGACGCUGAGAAGCGAAAAGCAUGGGGGAGCGAACAGG
rnacentral:rRNA from 1 species